UCCGAGUUGACCCCGGCAGUCUCCCAUGAGUCCCCGGCAUUACCCGCUGGCAACAUGGAACGAGGGUUGCGCUCGUUGCGGGACUUAACCCAACAUCUCACGACACGAGCUGACAACAGCCAUGCACCACCUGUGCACUGGCCCCGAAGGGCUGCCGUAUUUCUACGGCAUUCCAGUGCAUGUCAAGCCCUGGUAAGGUUCUUCGCGUCGCGUCGAAUUAAACCACAUGCUCCGCUGCUUGUGCGGGCCCCCGUCAAUUCCUUUGAGUUUUAGCCUUGCGGCCGUACUCCCCAGGCGGGGUGCUUAAUGCGUUAGCUUCGGCACAGAAACCGUGGAAUGGUCCCCACACCUAGCGCCCAACGUUUACAGCGUGGACUAC
rnacentral:misc_RNA from 1 species